CCUACGGGUGGCAGCAGUGAGGAAUAUUGGUCAAUGGGCGGGAGCCUGAACCAGCCAAGUCGCGUGAGGGAAGACGGUCCUAUGGAUUGUAAACCUCUUUUGUCGGGGAGCAAAAGACGCCACUCGUGGCGUUCCGAGAGUACCCGAAGAAAAAGCAUCGGCUAACUCCGUGCCAGCAGCCGCGGUAAUACGGAGGAUUCGAGCGUUAUCCGGAUUUUUUGGGUGUAAGGGGUGCGCAGGGGGAAUAUCAAGGCGGCGGUAAAAUUGAGGGGCUCACCCUCUUCGAGCCGUUGAAACUGGUUUUCGUGAGUGAGUGAGAAGUAUGCGGAAUGCGGGGUGUAGCGGUGAAAUGCAUAGAUAUCACGCAGAACUCCGAUGGCGAAGGCAGCAUACCGGCGCUCAACUGACGCUCAUGCACGAAAGUGUGGGUAUCGAACAGGAUUAGAUACCCCGGUAGUC
rnacentral:rRNA from 1 species